GCAUGUGUGUGCCUGCACAUCUUGCUGAACGUGGGAGGAUAACUUUUCACAGCAGAUGGAUAUAUAAAAUAAAGUAGUUUCAUUUUCUUUUUAACAAAAUAAAAGGAAAUCCAAGA